UGGGGAAUCAUAGACAAUGGGCGAAAGCCUGAUCUUGCCAUGCCGCGUGAGCGAUGAAGGCCUUAGGGUUGUAAAGCUCUUUCACCGGUGAAGAUAAUGACGGUAGCCGGAGAAGAAGCCCCGGCUAACUCCGUGCCAGCAGCCGCGGUAAUACGGAGGGGGCUAGCGUUGUUCGGAAUUACUGGGCGUAAAGCGCGCGUAGGCGGGCUGUUAAGUCGGGGGUGAAAUCCCGGGGCUCAACCCCGGAACUGCCUUCGAUACUGGCAGCCUAGAGGACGGUAGAGGCUAGUGGAAUGGCGAGUGUAGAGGUGAAAUUCGUAGAUAUUCGCCGGAACACCAGUGGCGAAGGCGACUGGCUGGACCGUAUCUGACGCUGAGGUGCGAAAGCGUGGGGAGCAAACAGGAUUAGAUACCCCCGUAGUCC
rnacentral:rRNA from 1 species